AUGGAGAGACUCCACCAGCCUUAUUCUCUGGUUGUAACCGUGGAAGAGAAAGGUGAGGUGUCCCUUUUAGUUGACGCGUUCGUUAAUUUAGUCUGGGAGGGUGUGACCGGCAUGGAUCUGCUGGAGGUGUUCCUUAGUCGACGCAUCCAGCCUCUCCAAGCUCGUGAUCACCCGAUGUGGAUGUACUCGGGCCCUGGAGACACAUCUCGAAUCCACUCGGAGGAGCUUCACGAGGAGACGGUGGCCCAGUGGCUCAGGAGCAUUACUAUGAACAAGGAUAACCCCAGGGGGACCAGGAGGGUUCUGCCAUACGACGCCAACAACACUCCAUAA
rnacentral:rRNA from 1 species